rnacentral:rRNA from 1 species
UUAGGAAUCUUCCACAAUGGGCGAAAGCCUGAUGGAGCGACGCCGCAUGAGGGAUGAAGGCCUUAGGGUUGUAAACCUCUAAAAGAGGGACGAUAAUGACGGUACCUCUUGAAUAGCACCGGCUAACUCCGUGCCAGCAGCCGCGGUAAUACGGAGGGUGCAAGCGUUAUCCGGAAUCACUGGGCGUAAAGGGCGCGUAGGCGGUCUGUUAAGUCCGAUGUUAAAUCCCGGGGCUCAACCCUGGAUAAGCGUUGGAUACUGGCAGGCUAGACGGUUGGAGAGGCGAGUGGAAUUACCAGUGUAGCGGUGGAAUGCGUAGAUACUGGUAGGAACACCCAUUGCGAAGGCAGCUCGCUGGACAACACGUGACGCUGAGGCGCGAAAGUGUGGGGAGCAAACC